rnacentral:rRNA from 1 species
UAACCUGCCCAAGAGAUCGGGAUAACACCUGGAAACAGAUGCUAAUACCGGAUAACAACAGAUGAUGCCUAUCAACUGUUUAAAAGAUGGUUCUGCUAUCACUAUUGGAUGGACCUGCGGUGCAUUAGCUAGUUGGUAGGGUAACGGCCUACCAAGGCGAUGAUGCAUAGCCGAGUUGAGAGACUGAUCGGCCACAUUGGGACUGAGACACGGCCCAAACUCCUACGGGAGGCAGCAGCU